AAUCAACGCUGGCGGCGUGCCUCAGACAUGCAAGUCGAACGCGAAAGUUCCCUUCGGGGGAUGAGUAGAGUGGCGCACGGGUGAGUAACACGUAGGUAAUCUACCUUCGGAUGGGGAAGUAACAACCGGAAACGGUUGCUAAUACCGCAUAAUGCAGCGGCACCUAAUGGUGACAGUUGUUAAAGCGGGGGAGUCGAAAGACCUCGCGUCUGAAGAGGAGCCUGCGGCGGAUUAGCUAGUUGGUAGGGUAACGGCCUACCAAGGCUACGAUCCGUAGCCGGCCUGAGAGGGCGGUCGGCCACACUGACACUGACAUACGGGUCAGACUCCUACGGGAGGCAGCAGUCGGGAAUUUUGGGCAAUGGGCGAAAGCCUGACCCAGCAACGCCG
rnacentral:rRNA from 1 species